UACGUAGGUGGCAAGCGUUGUCCGGAAUCACUGGGCGUAAAGCGCGCGCAGGCGGCGAUCUACGUCUGGGGUGAAAGCCCGGAGCUCAACUCCGGGACUGCCUUGGAUACGGGAUCGCUUGAGGAUUGGAGAGGCAAGGGGAAUUCCACGUGUAGCGGUGAAAUGCGUAGAUAUGUGGAGGAACACCUGUGGCGAAGGCGCCUUGCUGGCCAAUUCCUGACGCUGAGGCGCGAAAGCGUGGGGAGCAAACAGG
rnacentral:rRNA from 1 species